GUGCCAGCAGCCGCGGUAAUACGGAGGGUGCAAACGUUGCUCGGAAUCAUUGGGCGUAAAGCGCACGUAGGCGGUCUGUUAAGUCGGAUGUGAAAGCCCCGGGCUCAACCCGGGAAGUGCAUACGAAACUGGCGGACUUGAAUAUGGAAGAGGGUCGCGGAAUUCCCGGUGUAGAGGUGAAAUUCGUAGAUAUCGGGAGGAACACCAGUGGCGAAGGCGGCGACCUGGGCCAAUAUUGACGCUAAUGUGCGAAAGCGUGGGGAGCAAACAGGAUUAGAAACCCUAGUAGUCC
rnacentral:rRNA from 1 species